UUACAGCUGACGAGUCCCAAAUAAAACGAAACGCGCGUCCUGGAU
rnacentral:hammerhead_ribozyme from 1 species